AGUGAAGUAUAAUCUAGCCCAUUAUACAUACAGCCGCCAUGGCAUGAUAAGAUGUAGCCGGAGUACAGGAUGACCACCCCGUAAGCUUAUCAAUAAGUCCCACAG
rnacentral:sRNA from 12 species